UCUCCGUUGGUGAACCAGCGGAGGGAUCAUUACUGGAAUCGCAAGAUCCCACAACCCUGUGAACCUACCGAAACGUUGCCUCGGCGGGUGCCCGGCCUCUGCGCCGGGCGCUGCGCCCGCCGGCGGCCCCCUACUCUGCCUCUGCAGCGUGGCAUCUCAGAGUCCCAGAAAACAAGUCAAAACUUUCAGCAACGGAUCUCUUGGCUCUA
rnacentral:misc_RNA from 1 species